UACGUAGGCAGCGAGCGUUGUUCGGAGUUACUGGGCGUAAAGGGUGUGUAGGCGGUUUUCUAAGUUUGGUGUGAAAUCUCCCGGCUUAACCGGGAGGGUGCGCCGAAAACUGGGAGACUAGAGUGCGGGAUGGGAGAGUAGAAUUCCUGGUGUAGCGGUGAAAUGCGUAGAUAUCAGGAGGAAUACCGGUGGCGCAGACGGCUCUCUGGACCGCAACUGACGCUGAGACACGAAAGCGUGGGUAGCAAACAGG
rnacentral:rRNA from 1 species